rnacentral:lncRNA from 1 species
GAUCAUUGUCUCUCCAGAUAAAUUAUUAAAAUAGCCAUAAGGACACAAAGUUUCCAGAAUUCAUUUUUUUUAAUCAAGAUUUUUAUCUUUUUUUUUUUUUUAUUCUUCUUUCAGCUAGAAGUUCUUCUCUAGAAAUGAGAAAGGACAGCUACUUCAGCAUUUGAUGGUGAUUCAAAGACAUCUUUUAAAGGUGUAAGUUCCAGGAGGCAUGUGAAACCAAAACAGGGUAAUCAUCUUGUCAGAAAAUGGAGACAUUCUGGUAUGGGCUCAGUUUUGUUCCUUGCAGAGGUCAAACCAGUGUCUGCUUGAAAAAUUCAUGAUCCAGAAAAGUUCUCUUUGUUGUACAACAUAGAGAUUCACUCAGAAGAAAUUAUCAAUGUUGAUGAAGAUACUGCUUGUCACUGAGCUCAUGCUGAUGAAGACAGAAAAUUGUUUGAAGAUUAAUAUUGAAGAUUAAAAACCUCUAUAUUGGACUUUUUUGACUUUGAAACCACAAGAGGCUAUAGUGAUUCAAUGUGAACUGAGGAUGAAAUAGCCAUAUCAGCCUUCAGCAUUAAGGAGCGUUAAUCAAGCAUGAGGUCAUGCAAACUCUUACCU